rnacentral:rRNA from 1 species
GACGAACGCUGGCGGCGUGCUUAAUACAUGCAAGUAGGACGCAGUUGCGAACGGGUGAGUAACGCGUAGGUAACUACCUAUUAGAGAGGGCUAACUAUUGGAAACGAUAGCUAAUACCGCAUACUAGUAGGUGGACCUGCGGUGUAUUAGCUAGUAGGUAGGGUAAAGGCCUCCCUAGGCAAAGUUACAUAGCCGAGCUGGGAGGGUGAACGGCCAAAAUGGGAAUGGGGAAAGGCCCAGGCUCCGACGGGAGGCAGCAGGAGGGAAUCGUCGGAAAUGGGGGGAAACCUGACCGAGCAAAGCCGCGGUAGGGAAGAAGGGUUUCGGAUCGUAAAGCUCUGUUGUUAAGGAAGCGGUACUUAACCAGAAAGGAACGGCUAACUACGUGCCAGCAGCCGCGGUAAUAC